GCCUUAGUAGUGUAGUGGCCCAGCAUACAGGCUUGUCGAGCCUGUGACCCGGGUUCAAAUCCCGGCUAAGGCG
rnacentral:tRNA from 1 species